AGCAGCCGCGGUAAUUCCAGCUCCAAUAGCGUAUAUUAAAGUUGUUGCAGUUAAAAAGCUCGUAGUUGAAUUUCGGGAUCAAUAUUUCGGUCAUGCCGUUGGUAUGCACUGUUAUCAUUGAUUUCUCACCUUCUAAAGAACCGUAAUGCCAUUAAUUUGGUGUUACGGGGAAUUAGGACUGUUACCUUGAAAAAUUAGAGUGUUUAAAGCAGGCUUUAGCUUGAAUACAUUAGCAUGGAAUAAUGAAAUAGGACGUUCGAACCUAUUUUGUUGGUUUCUAGGAUCAACGUAAUGAUUAAUAGGGAUAGUUGGGGGCAUUAGUAUUCAAUUGUCAGAGGUGAAAUUCUUGGAUUUAUUGAAGACUAACUACUGACGAAAGCAUUUGCCAAGGAUGUUUUCAUUAAUCAAGAACGAAGGUUAGGGGAUCGAAGACGAUCAGAUACCGUCGUAGUCUUAACCAUAAAUUAUAGCCGACUAGGGAUCGGAUGAUAGUUUAAUUUUUUAAUGUACUCUAU
rnacentral:rRNA from 1 species